UUACUCCUAAAAAUAAUGAAAA
rnacentral:snRNA from 1 species